rnacentral:tRNA from 1 species
GGAGAAAUACCCAAGAGGCUGAAGGGGCUCCCCUGGAAAGGGAGUAGAGCGUUAAUAGCGCUGCAUGGGUUCAAAUCCCAUUUUCUCCG